rnacentral:lncRNA from 1 species
UCUAUAUCUAUAGGGUAAUGCUACUAUCCUAUUAAUAGGAUAGGAGCACUUGUCCUAUCAAGUUGUUCUUGAUGAUUGAGAUUCUGAAUCGAUGAUCGGAGCCGUUGAAGUUGAUCUAGAGUAUUUGAAAUAUUUAGAAACUAAAUUUCAUAAAUUUUGAUAAUGGUUUACAUGGUGAUCAAAGUGUCGUAAAAUUGACAAUUUUUGAUGGCCUAUAUGAGCCGUUUGCUUGUUUAACGGUGUAGAGCAAUCCAAAUUGCUUGAAUUUUUGAUAGAGAAUUUUUUAUACUAUUUAGAUAAUGUUUGAUAAUUCUGAUUACGACCUGAGAAAGUCUAACCUCUAUUUUAAGAAGGUUAUUCAUUUAUGACCGUUCAUUUUUCAACUCUUAAGAUGAAAUUGAUAAUGAUUUUUAAAUAUUACAAAAUUUGGUUUCUAAAUAUUUCUAAUUGUGUAGAUCAACUUCAACGGUGCCGAUUAUUAAUUUGAAGUUCCGAUCAUUCAAAUCGACUUGAUAGGACAAGGGUCCCAAUCCUAUUAAUAGGAUAGUAGCCGGACCCAUAUCUAUAACUCCUAUACCUUAUUUAUCUUCUAUACAUUAUUUCUUAUUGAGUUUGUCACGUGGUAAUUCUUUCUUCACUUUCCUUACUUAUAUGUUAUUUUUUAUGAAGUUUGUGACGUAGCAAUUCCUUCUUCACUACACUUUUCACUCCCUGAUGUUUCGCCUUCCCAUAUCAUAUCUGUCCAAUGAUUCGACUUUUCACUCGCCCACUUUCUAAUUAAUGAAGUCACAUGAUCCAGUUUCAUGUAAACGUACAAAUUAUUUUAAAGAAAAG